UACGUAGGGUGCAAGCGUUAAUCGGAAUUACUGGGCGUAAAGCGUGCGCAGGCGGCUAUGCAAGACAGAUGUGAAAUCCCCGGGCUCAACCUCGGAACUGCGUCUGAAACUACUCGGCUAGAGUACUGGAGAGGGUAACGGAAUUCACGGUGUAGCAGUGAAAUGCGUAGAUAUCGUGAGGAACACCAGAGGCGAAGGCGGUUACCUGGACAGUUACUGACGCUCAGGCACGAAAGCAUGGGGAGCAAAAGGG
rnacentral:rRNA from 1 species